rnacentral:rRNA from 1 species
UGGGGAAUAUUGCGCAAUGGGGGCAACCCUGACGCAGCAAUACCGCGUGAGUGAAGAAGGUUUUCGGAUCGUAAAGCUCUGUUAUUGGGGAAGAAAAAAGACGGUACCCAAGAAGAAAGUCCCGGCUAACUACGUGCCAGCAGCCGCGGUAAUACGUAGGGGACAAGCGUUGUCCGGAUUUACUGGGCGUAAAGGGCACGCAGGCGGUUUUUUAAGUCAGAUGGGAAAGGUACGGGCUCAACCGGGGACAUGCAGUUGAAACUGAAAGGCUGGAGUAGUGUAGAGGCGAGUGGAAUUCCGAGUGUAGCGGUGAAAUGCGUAGAUAUUAGGAGGAACACCGGUGGCGAAGGCGGCUUGCUGGACAAAUACUGACGCUGAGGUGCGAAAGCGUGGGGAGCAAACA